AGGCGUGAAGCAGUGGGCUGGGUCCGUAUCAGUCGAUUGCAGAGCCAGACCGUGGGUUAUGCGGAAAUCACAAGCCGGAUAGGUGGCGGGAACGCUGCUGAAAGAAAACGCAAAAA
ncrna:unclassified sequences drum RNA